rnacentral:rRNA from 1 species
UCGAGCGGUAGCACAAAGAGCUUGCUCUCGGGUGACGAGCGGCGGACGGGUGAGUAAUGUCUGGGAAACUGCCUGAUGGAGGGGGAUAACUACUGGAAACGGUAGCUAAUACCGCAUAACGUCGCAAGACCAAAGAGGGGGACCUUCGGGCCUCUUGCCAUCAGAUGUGCCCAGAUGGGAUUAGCUAGUAGGUGGGGUAACGGCUCACCUAGGCGACAAUCCCUAGCUGGUCUGAGAGGAUGACCAGCCACACUGGAACUGAGACACGGUCCAGACUCCUACGGGAGGCAGCAGUGGGGAAUAUUGCACAAUGGGCGCAAGCCUGAUGCACCCAUGCCGCGUGUAUGAAAAAAGCCUUCGGGUUGUAAAGUACUUUCAGCGGGGAGGAAGGUGUUGAGGUUAAUAACCUCGUCAAUUGACGUUACCCGCAGAAAAAACACCGGCUAACUCCGUGCCAGCAGCCGCGGUAAUACGGAGGGUGCAAGCGUUAAUCGGAAUUACUGGGCGUAAAGCGCACGCAGGCGGUCUGUCAAGUCGGAUGUGAAAUCCCCGGGCUCAACCUGGGAACUGCAUUCGAAACUGGCAGGCUAGAGUCUUGUAGAGGGGGGUAGAAUUCCAGGUGUAGCGGUGAAAUGCGUAGAGAUCUGGAGGAAUACCGGUGGCGAAAGCGGCCCCCUGGACAAAGACUGACGCUCACGUGCGAAAGCGUGGGGAGCAAACA